CUAGCGUUGCUCGGAAUCACUGGGCGUAAAGGGUGCGUAGGCGGGCUCUUAAGUCAGAGGUGAAAGCCUGGAGCUCAACUCCAGAACUGCCUUUGAUACUGGGAUUCUUGAGUUCGGGAGAGGUGAGCGGAACUGCGAGUGUAGAGGUGAAAUUCGUAGAUAUUCGCAAGAACACCAGUGGCGAAGGCGGCUCACUGGCCCGAUACUGACGCUGAGGCACGAAAGCGUGGGUAGCAAACAGG
rnacentral:rRNA from 1 species